AACGUACGCUGGCGGCACGCCUAACACAUGCAAGUCGAACGAAGUAGCAAUACUUAGUGGCAGACGGGUGAGUAACAUGUAGGUAUCUGCCCUUUGGCCUGGAAUAACACGAGGAAACUUGUGCUAAUACCGGAUAAGUCUUUACGGAGAAAGCUUUAUGCACCAUUGGAUGAGCCUGCAUUUGAUUAGUUUGUUGGUGGGGUAAUGGCCUACCAAGACUGUGAUCAAUAGCUGAUUUGAGAGGAUGAUCAGCCACAUUGGGACUGAGACACGGCCCAAACUCCUACGGGAGGCAGCAGUGGGGAAUCUUGCACAAUGGAGGAAACUCUGAUGCAGCGAUGCCGCGUGAGUGAAGAAGGCCCUUGGGUUGUAAAGCUCUUUCGUCGGGGAAGAAAAUGACUGUACCCGAAUAAGAAGGUCCGGCUAACUUCGUGCCAGCAGCCGCGGUAAUACGAAGGGACCUAGCGUAGUUCGGAAUUACUGGGCUUAAAGAGUUCGUAGGUGGUUGAAAAAGUUAGUGGUGAAAUCCCAGAGCUUAACUCUGGAACUGCCAUUAAAACUUUUCAGCUAGAGUAUGAUAGAGGAAAGCAGAAUUUCUAGUGUAGAGGUGAAAUUCGUAGAUAUUAGAAAGAAUACCAAUUGCGAAGGCAGCUUUCUGGAUCAUUACUGACACUGAGGAACGAAAGCAUGGGUAGCGAAGAGGAUUAGAUACCCUCGUAGUCCAUGCCGUAAACGAUGUGUGUUAGACGUUGGAAAUUUAUUUUCAGUGUCGCAGGGAAACCGAUAAACACACCGCCUGGGGAGUACGACCGCAAGGUUAAAACUCAAAUGAAUUGACGGGGACCCGCACAAGUAGUGGAGCAUGUGGUUUAAUUCGAAGAUACGCGCAGAACCUUACCAACACUUGACAUGUUCGUCGCGACUCUAAGAGAUUAGAGUUUUCGGUUCGGCCGGACGAAACACAGGUGCUGCAUGGCUGUCGUCAGCUCGUGUCGUGAGAUGUUGGGUUAAGUCCCGCAACGAGCGCAACCCUCACUUUUAGUUGCCAUCAUUAAGUUGGGCACUCUGAAAGAACUGCCAGUGAUAAGCUGGAGGAAGGUGGGGAUGACGUCAAGUCCUCAUGGCCCUUACGUGUUGGGCUACACACGUGCUACAAUGGUAUCUACAACAGGAAGCAAGACUGCGAAGUUAAGCAAAUCCCUAAAAGAUACCUCAGUUCGGAUUGCACUCUGCAACUCGAGUGCAUGAAGCUGGAAUUACUAGUAAUCGUGGAAUCAGCGUGCCACGGUGAAAUGCGUUCCCGGGUCU
rnacentral:rRNA from 1 species